rnacentral:rRNA from 1 species
UACGUAGGGUGCAAGCGUUGUCCGGAAUUAUUGGGCGUAAAGAGCUCGUAGGCGGCUUGUCGCGUCGGCUGUGAAAACCCGCGGCUUAACUGCGGGCUUGCAGCCGAUACGGGCGGGCUGGAGUUCGGUAGGGGAGACUGGAAUUCCUGGUGUAGCGGUGAAAUGCGCAGAUAUCAGGAGGAACACCGGUGGCGAAGGCGGGUCUCUGGGCCGAUACUGACGCUGAGGAGCGAAAGCGUGGGGAGCGAACAGG